GCCUGGGUGGCUCACUCGGUUAAGUGCCUGACUUUGGCUCAGGUCAUGAUCUCACGGUUUGUGGGUUUGAGCCCCACAUCGGGCU
rnacentral:tRNA from 1 species